AUGGGAAGCAAAGAGAAUUUCACUAACAAUUCCUGCACAAGUUGUGCUUCUGGACAAACACAAUUCUUUUGUUUGCAGGGGCUCCUUAAAAUAAAACUAAGGCUUUCUGCCCAGGAUUUGUAUUCACUAGAAGUGUUUGGUUUGCAUUUCUCAACAUCCAGAACCACCCCUGAAGAAAAUAGGGCAGCAGCCUUGCAGGUAGGAAAGACCUGUCCUGGAGGGGAAACAAAUAUAGCCACCAUAUAUUUUUAUUUAGAAACAACUGCCUCAGGGGCUGAUGACUUAGAAAGCAAGUCCCAUCUCUGUCUGCAUCAGGAAGACUGCCAAGCUCAGGACUUAGAAGGAACUGGAAAGGUGAUCAGAAUAUCACAAAAGUGA
rnacentral:lncRNA from 1 species